GCCCGGCUGGCUCAAUGGUUAGAGCAUCUGACUUCUAAUCAGAAGGUUGCGAGUUCGAGUCUCGCGUCGGGUU